CACGCAGGCGGUUAAGAAAGUUAGGCGUGAAAGCUCCCGGCUCAACUGGGAGAGUGCGUCUAAAACUACUAGGCUUGAGUCUGAUAGAGGAGAGCAGAAUUCCCGGUGUAGUGGUGGAAUGCGUAGAGAUCGGGAGGAAUACCAGUGGCGAAAGCGGCUCUCUGGGUCAGAACUGACGCUGAGGUGCGAAAGCGUGGGGAGCGAACG
rnacentral:rRNA from 1 species